UACGUAGGGGCCUAGCGUUGUCCGGAUUUAUUGGGCGUAAAGCGCUCGCAGGUGGUCCGAUGCGUCGUGCGUGAAAGACCCCGGCUCAACUGGGGAGUGUCGUGCGAUACGGUCGGACUGGAGGCCAGUAGGGGGAUGCGGAAUUCCGGGUGUAGUGGUGGAAUGCGUAGAGAUCCGGAGGAACACCAGCGGCGAAGGCGGCAUCCUGGACUGGUCCUGACACUCAUGAGCGAAAGCGUGGGGAGCGAUCCGG
rnacentral:rRNA from 1 species